UACAGAGGGUGCAAGCGUUAAUCGGAAUUACUGGGCGUAAAGCGUGCGUCGACGGUUGCGUAAGUCAGAUGUGAAAGCCCCGGGCUCAACCUGGGAAUUGCAUUUGAGACUGCGUAGCUAGGGUGCGGAAGAGGGAAGCGGAAUUUCCGGUGUAGCGGUGAAAUGCGUAGAUAUCGGAAGGAACACCAGUGGCGAAAGCGGCUUCCUGGUCCAGCACCGACGUUCAGGCACGAAAGCGUGGGGAGCAAACAGG
rnacentral:rRNA from 1 species